rnacentral:tRNA from 1 species
CGGGGUGUAGCGCAGUUCGGCUAGCGCACGUGCUUUGGGAGCAUGGGGCCGGGGGUUCAAAUCCCUCCACCCCGACCA